CAAUCAAGAGUUCACUAUGAAGUUAAGCAUAUCAAUAAGCGGAGGAAAAGAAUCCAACGGGGAUUGCCUUCGUAACGGCGAGUGAAGCGGCAAGAGCUCAAAUUUGAAAAGGUGAGACACACUCACCAGUUGUAGUUUGAAGGAGGGAGAUUUGUGGGGGGUUGACAAUAGCGAUGUUCCUUGGAAGAGGGCGUCAUAGAAGGUGAUAAUCCUGUAGCUAUGUGUGUACCCCCUAUAGUAUAGUCACCCGCCGACGAGUCGAGUUGUUUGGGAAUGCAGCUCUAAGAGGGUGGUAAACUCCAUCUAAAGCUAAAUAUUGGCGAGAGACCGAUAGCGAACAAGUACAGUGAUGGAAAGAUGAAAAGAACUUUGAAAAGAGAGUGAAAGAGUGCGUGAAAUUGUUGAAAGGGAAGGAUAUUAGGUGAUGGGAGAUGGGGUUGCGUGCGAUAUAGAG
rnacentral:rRNA from 2 species